rnacentral:misc_RNA from 1 species
GAAAUGCGAUAAGUAGUGUGAAUUGCAGAAUUCGGUGAAUCAUCGAAUCUUUGAACGCACAUUGCGCCCUUUGGUAUUCCUUAGGGCAUGCCUGUUCGAGCGUCAUCUAAACCUUCAAGCCCUGCUUGGUGUUGGGUGCCUGUCCCGCCUCCGCGCGCGGACUCACCUCAAAUCCAUUGGCGGCCCCCGCGUCGGCCACGAGCGCAGCAGAAACGCGAACUCGUGAGCCCGUCCGGGCGGCUCCCAGAAGCUACACCCACCCAGUUUGACCUCGGAUCAGGUAGGGAUACCCGCUGAACUUAAGC